rnacentral:rRNA from 1 species
UGGCACGCGAGCUGGGUUCAGAACGUCGUGAGACAGUUCGGUCCCUAUCCGCCGCGGGCGCAGGAGAUUUGAGAGAACCUAAUCCUAGUACGAGAGGACCGGAUUGGACGAAUCUCUAGUGUACCAGUUGUCGUGUCAACGGCAUCGCUGGGUAGCUAUAUUCGGACGAGAUAAGCGCUGAAAGCAUCUAAGCGCGAAACUCAUCUCAAGAUAAGAUCUCCCUUUUGUUGUAAAACAAACUAAAGGUACCCCAAAGAUUAUGGGGUUGAUAGGCCACAGGUGUAAGUGCAGUAAUGUAUUUAGCCGAGUGGUACUAAUUUACCGUGAGGCUUGAUCAAUUUUUA